GCAUCUGUGCAUGCAGCAUAUCAAUAAGCGGAGGAAAAGUAGGGCUAGAUACCUACGCUUAGGAUGUUGAAGAUGUAGCACAUCAUACACGCAUGACACACUGCAUAUCAAUAAGCGGAGGAAAAGAAACUAACAAGGAUUCCCCUAGUAACGGCGAGUGAAGCGGGAAGAGCUCAAAUUUGAAAUCUUAAAGGGUUUCCCUUUACGAAUUGUAGCUUAAAGAAGUGUUUUCUGUUGAGGUUUUGGUAAAAGUUCUUUGGAAUAGGACAUCAUAGAGGGUGAGAAUCCCGUAUUUGACCUUUACUUUCAACUUUGUGAUACACUUUCAAAGAGUCGGAUUGUUUGGGAAUGCAGUCCAAAAUGGGUGGUAAAUUUCAUCUAAAGCUAAAUAUUGGCGAGAGACCGAUAGCGAACAAGUACCGUGAGGGAAAGAUGAAAAGAACUUUGAAAAGAGAGUUAAACAGUACGUGAAAUUGUCAAAAGGGAAGCGUUUGACACCAGUGUUGUUUUUCUGAAAAUCAAUUAAAGAACUGUUUAUGCUAAGUUGUUUAGACUUUAUCAGCUAACUGUUUAGUUUUGAGCUUUUCUUUAAUGCACUUUUCAGUUAACAAGUCAACAUCAAUUUCUUUUGCUGUAAAAAAGCUUGAGGAAGGUGGCUUGAGAUUCGUCUUAAGUGUUUAUAGCCUCUUGCCUAUGCAGUCGGAGAGAUUGAGGUCUGCAGCGUAGAUCCUUCGGGGCUAAUGCAUUUGUGCUAAGUUAUAGCAUUUUAUAGACAACUUGUUGACUAUGAUUUGUCUUGUAGCUUACUCGCUUAUGUUAUUUUACCUACGCUUAGGAUGUUGAAGAUGUAGCACAUCAU
rnacentral:rRNA from 1 species